ACGAACGCUGGCGGCGUGCCUAAUACAUGCAAGUCGAGCGGAAUGAUGAAGAAGCUUGCUUCUUCUGAUUUUAGCGGCGGGCGGGUGAGUAACACGUGGGCAACCUACCUUGUAGAUUGGGAUAACUCCGGGAAACCGGGGCUAAUACCGAAUAAUCCAUUUUGCUUCAUGGCGAGAUGUUGAAAGACGGUUUCGGCUGUCACUAUAAGAUGGGCCCGCGGCGCAUUAGCUAGUUGGUAGGGUAAUGGCCUACCAAGGCGACGAUGCGUAGCCGACCUGAGAGGGUGAUCGGCCACACUGGGACUGAGACACGGCCCAGACUCCUACGGGAGGCAGCAGUAGGGAAUCUUCCACAAUGGACGAAAGUCUGAUGGAGCAACGCCGCGUGAGUGAAGAAGGUUUUCGGAUCGUAAAACUCUGUUGUAAGGGAAGAACACGUACGAGAGUAACUGCUCGUACCUUGACGGUACCUUAUUAGAAAGCCACGGCUAACUACGUG
rnacentral:rRNA from 1 species